AUGUAACAAGGUUGAGGACCUCGUUAGGGGACAGAGGUACUGAACAGAGGUACACUGUAAGAAAUGUAGUAAACAGCGUAAUACAUUCACUCAACAGACACACAAUCACCAAAAAGGUUAUAAAACUACAGCUUCAGCUUUUCUUUGCUCAAGUGUUCAAGUCUCGUCUUGUUGACUCUUGAAUUUGUAUAAACAUCUGCUUUAAUCUCUCUGUGUCUCUGUGUCUCUGUGUGUGUGUGUGUGUGUGUGUGUGUGUGUCUCAGUUCAUGCCCUCUGGUGGUUCGAGAACGCUGACCAGCGAGCUGAAGUUCGACACAAAGCUCAUACUGACGCCCGAGUGGUCGCUGCAGUCAGAAACUGUGUCAUCCAUCUGGACUCUCAGGAGAACAAACUCAUGUUCCCUUGUUCCUUCUCUCCGCUGAAGUAACUUCCUGAGUCUCCACUUCCUGUGUCUCCACGGCCACAAAGACAAACACUGUUAAAACUUACUUUGUCCUCUGUGGGCCUCCGUAGCGUUAUGAUGAAUCCCACUGCUUUUCUCGGUAAGUUGCGCUUUGAUUGGUUAAUGAGCUAUUCUGACCCCAACAACCGGAGCUCAAUGCAAUCCAAUCCAAUCGUCUGCCUCCACCGGCCACACAGGGGGCGGGGCUUACCAAGAAGAGCAGUGGGGUCCGUAGUUACAGCAGGAAGUGAGUUAAAUAAAUAUGUAAUAAUGAUGAAAAAUAAAAGCAUUAAUAAAUCCAA